rnacentral:rRNA from 1 species
AUGAAAGGAGGCAAGGCGAUGGGCCCUGAUUGUAUCCCCAUUGAGGUGUGGAAAGGUCUCGGGGACAUAGCGAUAGUAUGGCUAACCAAGCUUUUCAACCUCAUUUUUCGGGCAAACAAGAUGGCAGAAGAAUGGAGACAGAGUAUAUUAGUACCAAUCUUCAAGAACAAGGGGGAUGUUCAGAGUUGUACUAAUUACCGUGGAAUUAAGCUGAUGAGCCAUACAAUGAAGCUAUGGGAGAGAGUCAUUGAGCACCGCUUAAGAAGAAUGACAAGCGUGACCAAAAAUCAGUUUGGUUUCAUGCCUCGGAGGUCGACCAUGGAAGCCAUUUUCUUGGUACGACAACUUAUGGAGAGAUAUAGGGAGCAAAAGAAGGGCUUGCAUAUGGUGUUCAUUGACUUGGAGAAGGCCUAUGAUAAGAUACCAUGGACUUGUAUAUUAUACACUUGGAGAAACACAAAGUCCCAGCAAAGUACAUUACCCUCAUCAAGGACAUGUACGAUAAUGUUGUGA